GACGAACGCUGGCGGCGUGCUUAACACAUGCAAGUCGAACGGAAAGGCCCUGCUUUUGUGGGGUGCUCGAGUGGCGAACGGGUGAGUAACACGUGAGUAACCUGCCCUUGACUUUGGGAUAACUUCAGGAAACUGGGGCUAAUACCGGAUAGGAGCUCCUGCUGCAUGGUGGGGGUUGGAAAGUUUCGGCGGUUGGGGAUGGACUCGCGGCUUAUCAGCUUGUUGGUGGGGUAGUGGCUUACCAAGGCUUUGACGGGUAGCCGGCCUGAGAGGGUGACCGGCCACAUUGGGACUGAGAUACGGCCCAGACUCCUACGGGAGGCAACAGUGGGGAAUAUUGCACAAUGGGCGGAAGCCUGAUGCAGCAACGCCGCGUGCGGGAUGACGGCCUUCGGGUUGUAAACCGCUUUCGCCUGUGACGAAGCGAGAGUGACGGUAAUGGGUAAAGAAGCACCGGCUAACUACGU
rnacentral:rRNA from 1 species